rnacentral:lncRNA from 1 species
GCUCAGAUCUAGCAUUGCUGUGGCGUAGGCUGGUGGCUACAGCUCAGAUUCGACCCCUCACCUGGAAACCUCCAUAUGCCGCAGGAGCGGCCCUUAAAAAAAAAAAAAAAAAAAAAAGAGAGAGAGAGAAGAGGAAAGGAGAAAAGAAAGAGAGAAAAAGGAAGCGAGCAGGUCUGAACCCGAAGCAGAGACCUGACAGCGUGGGAUGGGGUGCAGCGCUGCAGAGGGAGACAGACAGACACGGUGGAGGUCACUCCUUCCUGCAUCCCGGCCUCUCUGGACAGGCGGAAGGCUCUCACUCCGCCUCGCCCCGCGGAGUUCUGCUCACCUCCUUUGCACCGCAGGGAACAGCUUAACUCAUGAUCAUCUUCCCCUUUUCCAAAGGGCAGGUUGAUACUUGCUUAUUUAUCGUAAAUUGCUUCAUGUACCCCCAACUUUGUUGGACUCCUCAGUACCUGGCUCUGCCCCGGUUUGCAUUUAUCAUGACUGUGCUCCCCACUAGGUGUGGUCAUUGCCCUUAACUCUGCACCUUGUGGACCCUCGGAAUUCGGUCCCUUGCUCACAGCCCUCGGCUCCAGGCUUUGGACCCACACUCCCCCAGAGACGCUUUCUGAGGCUGGUGAAUUCCUCCUCGGUCGUAGCAGCCCUUCACGUACAUCCUGGCACUUCCAUUGCUCUGGGUCGCCUGGGCGUGUGUCAUCGCUGGUGAUGAGAAGGGAAGCGGAAUUGACCCCUAGGCACGUGGUGCUGGCCAGGACUUGAGAAAUCACCCUAUCCAGCUCCCACUCUCGAGGAAUCCCUUCGACAGCUUUUGUUUAACGUAUUAAAUAAAUAGAUUUCUCUUGAUUUCAGCUGUUCCCAAAAUAAAGAUUGGGUGGGUGAUCCAAGGACGGGGUUGCUAUUACCCGGCUGAUGUUACCAUGAGUAUCAAGAUGAUACCAGGGCUUUGCUGGGUUUGUAGGAAUCCGCAUUGUGCUGGUCCUCCUGCUCUCGCUCCCCCCCCCCACCGCCCCCACCACCCACCACUGGCGCUUUCAUUGGGCGGGGUGUGCGAGGGACCAGAUGCCAGGCUCAGUGAAUUCCUGUCCGUACCUGGAGAGCCAGCCCUUCUAACUAUAGCCAUUCCGAAGAUGUGUUUUGACUGCUGUUUCCUGGAAGAGCUGCUCUCAUGGAACAGCUUUUCUGUGCGUCUGGUACCGUUAGACCCACAUGAACGUGGGCCCGUAGAGUCUUUGUGUCCUUUGGACUCUGUUUUGCUUGUCAUUCAGUAUGCUGGGCUACACCUACAUAAAACCGUCUCUGCAGUUUUUGGUCUUUCCUAAGGCCGCACCCGCGGCAUAUGGAGAUUCCCAGGCUAGGGAUCCAAUCGGAGCUGUAGCCACCAGCCUACGCCAGAACCGCAGCAACUCGGGAUCCGAGCCGCAUCUGUAACCUACACAACAGCUCAUGGCAACACCAGAUCCUUAACCCACUGUGCAAGGCCAGGGAUCGAACCUGCAACCUCAUCAUUCCCAGUCAGAUUCAUUAACCACUGAACCACGGUGGGAGCUCCCCUCUCUGCAUUUUAAAGACCGUCUUUGGGGCCAGGGGUGUGUCGUUUGCCUCCCUCCCCACCACCUGCAGGAGGAAAGACACAUCGCACAGGUGGAAAAGCUUUGCUAAUGCGACAGAAGACUUGGAGGCGCCCAUCCGCCAGGCCGGGGUGCUGGGCUGUGCUCCCUGAGGCCGCGUGGCUCAUUUCCCUUGCUCACGUCUGACCUCUCCGUGGCGUCUCCAGCGGGAGGCAGUGUGUCAGACCUUUACCGUGUGUAGUAGCGCUGUCUGUGUGUGACGGAUCCUCUCACAUCUCUGAAGCCACCAUCUGUUUUCCUGCAUUUGGUUAUCUCAGCGCCGCCUUUCCCUGUGACUCGGGUUUAGAAGCAGACGCCCCUCUGUCUGUACUUUCUGAAUAAAGGAAUCGAAGAAUAGCUGUUGUCUUCCCCCAGGGCCAGGGCGCCGGACGUACAGGGUUGGUUUUGCUGCCCUGGUGUCAUUUGCCCCUUGCUCGUGCCGGCCAGCCCCCUGUGUCCCUUUCUCGCUCUCUUGGCCAUUCCUGUGUCCUCCUGCCACUGCACCUUUGCCUCGGCUGUUUGCCAGUCUGCAGGCCCUCCCCGUCCUCCGAACUCUAAAGCCUGCGCAUCCCUAGCGGUGGUGGUGAAUCUGGCCUCACUCAGCUCUUCCCCGUUCUUCCCAGCCUGGAGUGAGCCCGCCGAAGUCCACUAGCGCUUCAGCCCCAUGAGGGCAGAAACCGUCUAUUUUGUUUAGUGCCAAACAUGCAGCAUCCAGGACAGGGUGGAGGCUCGGUAUUUGUUGAAUGAAAGACAGUGGUUGGGAGUUCCUGUCGUGGCUCAGUGGUAACAAAUCCGACUAGUAUCCAUGAGGACGCCGGUUCGAUCCCUGGCCUUCCUCAGUGGGUUAAGGAUCUGGUGUUGCCGUGAGCUCUGGUGUGGGUCACACACGAGGCUCAGCUCCCAAGUUGCUGUGGCUGUGGCGUGGGCUGGCAGCUGUGGCUCUGAUUCGACCCCUGGCCUGGGAACCUCCCUAUCCCACAGGUGCGACCCUAAAAAGACCACAAGACAAAAAAGAAAAAAGAAAGAAAAAUCGGAUCUGCAGCUGCCAGCCUACACCACUGCCACAGCCACGCCAGAUCCCAGCCGCAUCUGCAGCCUACACCCCAGCUCACAGCUUUUGUUCUGUCCCUCAGACCUGGCUGCCUUUGGGCACUUGAAAGUCCUCCCUAGGCAUCAUUUUCAUCGUGUCACCUACCUUUUUAAGUGGGUGAUCAUUGACUGCCAUCCGGAGUGUCUGUCCCUGCAGGGAAGGGAGCAAUGCAGGGUGUAGCACGAUGUUGGUCUCUAGGCAGAUGCUCCGCUAAAGCUUGCUGAGAGCACAGUCCUCAAGCUUCUUCUGUAUGAUCCCUCUUCUCUUCAAGAUACGGCCACACGGAGGUAUUGGUCAUCUCUCACUGCGUAACACAUGACCUCCAAACAGCAGUUAACGUGUAUUAUCUCACAGUGUCUGUGGACCAGGGAUCUAGGACCACCUUGGCUGGAGUGAACGUCUCAGUCUGGACGGCAGUCAUCUGAGGACUUGCCUGGGCCGGAGGAUCUUCAAGGUAGCUCAUUGUCAUGGCCGGCAAGCUGGCGCUGGCUGUUGGCCGGGGGCCUCAGUUCCUUGUUCGGCGGGCCUGUCCAUAGGCCUGCUUGAGCAUCUUCACAGUGUGGCUGCUGGCUUCUCCCAGAGAGAGUGAACCGAGAGAGUGCAAGGUGGCAGCUGCCGUGUCUUUCGUGACCUCAUCUCCGAAGUCAGAAUCCUAUUGGGUACACACAUUUGACCCGUUCAGCGUGGGAAGGGAUUUCGUGUUAAUAAAUGCCAGGAGCUACAGACAGACCUCCUUGGAGUGUGUCUGUCACAGCUGUGCUCACAGUCGUCCCUCAAGACAUCCCUUUUAACAAAUGAUUGAAAACUGAGAGUAGUUUUUUUAAAACACAUAGGGAAUAACAUUUAUGUAGCAGCGAUUCAUACCUAGUGUUCAUCUCAUUUACUCUUGUGAUCUUCCAAUCAACUUCCGAAAUUAAAUAUCCUGUCUUUUUGUUUGUUUGUUUGCUUUUUAGGUCUACACCCAAGGCAUAUGGAGCUUCCCAGGCUAGGGGUCCAAUUGGAGCCACAGCUGCCAGUUGACACCACCGCAACAGCAACGCAGGAUCUGAGUGGCAUCUGCGACCUACACCACAGCUCACGGCAACACCGGAUCCCUAACCCACUGAUCAAGGCCAGGGAUCGAACCUGCAACCUCAUGGCUCCUAGUUGGAUUCGUUUCACUGCACCACGACAGCAACUCCUAAAUAUCCUGUUUUUAUAGCCCAUCUUAGAACUAUCUUCCCUGAAUGUGUCUAAAUACACUUUUUUCUUUCUCUCUCUUUUUUUUUAUUUUUAUUUUUUGGCUGCCCCCAUGGCAUAUGGAGCUCCCGGUCCAAGGUUCAGAUUUGAGCAGCAGUGGGGUAUCCUUAACCCACUGUGGCAGGCCGGGGAUCAGUCCUCUGUCCCAGGGCUCCAGAGAUGCCCCCGAUCCUGUUGCACCAUCGCAGGAACUCCUUAAACCACUUUUUAAAAAUCACUUUAAACAUUCUCCCUGUUUCACCUCUCAGAGGGAUAGACUCAGGUGUACCAUUUGCUUUUCAAGGAAGCUCUUCCAGUCACUGCUUUCCCUGUCUGCUUCAUGGGUUUCCUUGUUCUCCCAUUCUCUCGGUUGCCUGAGAUGACACUUCUCCACUGAGCCUAAUGUUUUUUAAACAUUUAAAAGAAAAUCCCCAAGAAGUCAUGUCCUAAACCAAGAAUAGUACCUGCUUUGAUAUAUUAAUAGAGUCGGUGAAGACCAAUGGCCCCCACGGAUUCCCUGGGGCCCUCUGAAUUGGUAGGAGAGGGGUGCCCGUUAGCAGACGUGUCAGACCCGGACAGGGGGUCCUCCAGUUCCUGCCCCAGUGUCUAUUUCAGGGACCCCCUGUGCAACUCACCACCCCAUUUCAAGCAGCAGAACCAAGUGGGCACCGCUGAUGCGUCCAGAGACACAUCACACACACACACACACACACACACACACACACACACCUGCCCAGGCUGCACCUUUUUGCCUUUGUCUCCUCUAAAACCAUCCUUAAUAAUCAUUUUAACCAUAUUUUGCCUGAGUAAAAAAAACAUAUAUAUUUUUUUGGUCUGGCCGCACCCGCAGCAUAUGGAGGUUCCCAGGCUAGGGGUCGAAUCAGAGCUACAGCUGCCGGCCUACACCACAGCCUCAGCCACGCCAGAUCCGAGACGCAUCUGUGACUUACACCACAGCUCACGGCAACGCCGGAUCCUUAACCCACUGAGCGAGGCCAGGGAUCGAACCCACAACCUCAUAGUUCCUAGUUGGAUUCAUUUCUGCUGCGCCACAACGGGAACUCCUGCCUGAGUAAAAAUGUUAAGGGGAAGAGCAGGUGCCCGGGCUCGAUUUCCCCUAGGAAAAUGCCCUCUGGUAGCUGGUGCUUAUUUGUUCAAUAAACAAAACUUUAGGCUGGGAAUUGAAGGUCAACAUAAGCCGAAUCCACGCGUGCGCUCACUGCUCCGGGACCACAGCAUGUGCGUGCACCUGGGGGAGGAGCCUGCCCCCCGCCCCCGACCCCGGGCCUGAGCUGUGGUCACCCAGGAGGGUGUCGGUAAAUGGAAAUGCAAUGCAUCAUUCAUGAGGCUGUGGUGGCCUGAAGUCUGAGUUGGGGGGUGGUAAUUACAGAAUUGAGAAUUGAGAACUGAGGCUGCAGGCGUGUAGUAACCGUUCUAGGUUAGAGGCUGUGUGAUAGAUGGCCUGCAUUGUUCUCUUUCUGACCUUUUUCUGAACUUCCUCUGAGAAGAACAGAGGAAAUACGCUUCUGCCUUUUCCCAUAUUGUUUUUGAGUAAUGUCUUCUGAUGCUGGCGUUUGGCGUUCCGGUUCCUCCACUUGGGGUUUUGCUUUCCGCUCACCGCCCCACCCCUUCCCCCGUGCUUUGCUGCUUCCCGGAGUAGAAUCUAGUGGCUCAUCACUUCAUCCCAGUGUUCAUGGUAAAUACAGAGGCUACGCAUUUAUUUGCGAUGUUGAACACAGUACAUGCAGGGAAAGGAAAGACCCCUGCAGCAUCCUUUCCCCACCUCUGCUCACUGCCUCUCUCGCCCAAAGCUGGCUCCCCCAGCCAAGCAAGACAGGCAUGAGAAUGGUUCCUGGGGAUGAUGCCGAUGGGCCAGUGAGAAAUAUGUGGACCAUGGCCUCUCAGUGGGAGGGAUAACAGAGCAGGUGAUGGACCGUAAGCUCCAGCUUGCAGGAUAAAGUCAUUUUCACUAGAUGGUUAAGGUGCAUGAAGGACUGAUACUCACAUUUAAAUUAAUGAUGUGAGUUGUGGCUCAACGGAAAUGAAUCUGAGUAGCAUCCAUGAGGACGCAGGUUCGAUCUCUGGCCUCACUCGGUGGGUUAAGGAUCAGGCGUCACUGUGAACUGUGGUGUAGGUCACAGACACGGCUCAGAUGCUGCAUUGCUGUGGCUGUGGUGUGGGUCAGCAGCUUCAGCUCCGAUUUGACCCCUAUUCUAGGAGCCUCCAUGUGCUGUGGAUGCAGCAUUAAGAAGACAAAAAAUAAAAAUAAACUACUGAUGCAGUUGCGGAGAAAAAAACAAAUAGCAGGGUGGGGGAACAUGGGCUGUAUUUCUUUCAUCAGCCUUUCCUCUGUGCACCCAGAACACUCGGGUUUGUACUGCCACACUUCUCCGCCGGUGUCGAUUUCCUGCCCCGUAAUUUGGGGCUCUGAGAUCAUCUGAAGCCUGGCAUCCUCUGUAAAGUCAGGGGGCCCCGGGCGAGGGAAGAAGGAAGAUGUCUGUUUGAUUUGCACACAAGAAAACGUCAUUAAGAGUCUGGCAGAAUGGUCCCACUUAGCCUCAAAGUCGAAUCUAGAGUUGAACCUUUGGGGUGGUUGGGGUUGUUUUGUUUCUUGAAAAACAAACUCUUUUUGCAGCCGAAUGAAAAGGAACUAGACAGUUCUGUGUCAGAGGCUUUCAAACUAGGGACGGAGUUUGGUUAGUUCCGUUUCGUCGGUCGAAUGCUGACUGCACACCUGCUGUGUGUGGCACUCCAGCGCCCAGCGCUUCCUUCGGAAGCAAGUGUCAGCUCUCUUGUCAAGGAACUUUUGAAUCCAAGACAAGCCUAAAAGCGUACACGGGGAGACCUGCUUACAUAGCUGACCCUCUACAGAGAUGGGAGCCUCUCAGUUACUUUAAAUACUUUUUCAAAACUUUUAUUCUUU